rnacentral:sRNA from 1 species
UGGAAGAACAGUGAUGAGUCAGUUUACAGACCUGUAA